GGAAGUAAAAGUCGUAACAAGGUUUCCGUAGGUGAACCUGCAGAAGGAUCAUUACUGAUUUAGCGAACCGAGCGUUAGCGAGGUUUUGCGAUCACUUAUAUUUAAAACCCACUCUUCAAUGUAUAAAAUUUGUAUUAAUGAUAAAUUAAAAGAUCACUUUCAACAACGGAUCUCUUGGCUCUCGCAUCGAUGAAGAACGUAGCGAAGUGCGAUAAGUAAUGUGAAUUGCAGUAUUCCGUGAAUCAUCGAACCUUUGAACGCAUAUUGCACUUUCUGGUAUUCCGGAAAGUAUGCCUGUUUGAGGGCCAGUUAAAUAAAAAUCGGUGUUGUUGCCGCUUUCCGUGGUGACGCGUCGGAAUUGAGUCGUCUUCGGUUAAGUGACUUAAAAUUUUAUAUGAUUUUCGAACGUAUUUAAAUUUAUUUGAACGUUUGAUAUCGAAUGCUUAUUAGGUUCGGUCAUCCUCAUGACUCGCGCCUAUAAUUUUUCAUUAAAUGACCUCAAAUCAGGUAAGAAUACCCGCUGAACUUAAGCAUAUCAAUAAGCGGAGGA
rnacentral:rRNA from 1 species